GGGGAUGUAGCUCAGUGGUAAAGCAUGUAUUUAGCAUGUGCAAGGUCCUGAGUUCAAUCUCCAGCAUCACAA
rnacentral:tRNA from 1 species